GGAGAAAGCGAGACGCUCCGACACUUUGUGGCCCGAUUCAACGCGGCCACACUUGAGGUCUCGAUUAUCUCGGCCAUGAAGAGGGGACUAAGGGGGUCCCGAUUCACCUAUUUCUUGGACAAAACCCUCCCCCAGACGUAUAUCGAGUUGCUGGAGUACGUGUAUAAAUACAUACAUGCGGACGAAGGAGCUUUCGACCGACGUCUGACCGAGGGCACGGGUCAGA
rnacentral:lncRNA from 1 species